CUUGUCUACUUCGAAUUUUAGUGAACCAACCAUCACUAGCUUUACAUUAAGCUCUUUUAGUUGAUGUUAACCAGGUGUGAAUGAUAUCACUUGUCUAAACAGGACAAAGCUUCAGGGUGGCUAAAUUUGAAAAAGAGAGAAAAAGACCUGAUUGAUUUAUUCUUCUCAAAACUGGUAGAAGCAUAAGGUACUAAGGUGCUCCUGACACUUGCUAAUGUUUCCCUACGACUCCCAGCUAAACUUUUCCCACCUGUUGCCUUGUCACAACAAAAUACCUGUGGACUAUGCACAUUAAAGACCAAGCCUGCCUCUGGCAUUAACAGCACAGAAGACAGCAAGCUGAGCCCCUGAGGUGCCUCCAAGAUGCAGCUGCCAAUUUGCAGAAUUGUCUUGAUAGCUAUUGUGACGAAUAAUGGAAAACUAUGAAGAUACACCUGUGAUGCCAUCAGAAAGAAGACAAUGAGCACAAAGAGUCUCACGUACAUAAAGUACAUCAAGUGCAUCAAGUACAGCUUGGCAGAAUGAGCAGAAUUAAGUGAUACUAGGGCACAAACAGCCUUGACAUGCAUUCAAAGGGAAUAAUUGUACUUAGAUUGGUUUCUGAACAGUUCUCUGGAAUGAAAUGUUGAAUGAAAGUGUUGGGGUGUAACUGUAGUCUGUGGAUUAUUAAAUAAAGAUUGUCAAAGAGUUGUGUAGCA
rnacentral:lncRNA from 1 species